AACUCAUGGCACAGCACCCAGCCAUUCGGAAGAUUUGAGGCACAAACAUCAUCCAUUCAAAAACAUCUGGAAUGGUAAAGAGGAGGGGGCUUCUGGUAUUGCUGUUGUUAUAAAGUGUAUGCGCUCCGUGUACUUGUUGAUGUCCAUACAGCAAAAGUGUUUUGAACUAAAAUGAAUUUCAUCUCAAUUCCACCUGUAGUCCUGGAGGAACACAAGAAGACCCUUUUGAGGAUAACAGAAUUCAUAAAGUACAUGCCAUGGAAGAGCACAUGGGGCCAAUGACAAGGAAGAUGGAGGUUAUGGAGAGGAAGUCCAUGACUUUGAAGGCUGCCAUGGCUUUGAACAUGCCACAACCUGCUGUUGGUCCAGUGCAGCAGAGAGCAUAAGCUGGGGGAGCUAGCCAGAAGCCUAGCUCAACCAGAAAUGAGAAACCAAAUGACCUUGGGAAAGCCUGGGAUGGGCGAAUACGGCAGCUGCUGUCCGCCGUGGGUGGCUACCCACACACCAUGUCCUGGGACAUUACAGCCUGAGGAGGAAUAGAACGUGCAUGCAUUCCAGAACCUGACCCUUUGCAAAGUUAUAACAGGUAAGAUUAGCAGGUAUAUUCUCCGUAAAAAAUAUCUGUGUAAAUCUGUGUUAUGCCAAGUUUGAUUCAGAUUUAAAUGUCCCACCUUUCUUUACAUCCAUUUGCAGAGACCUACACGCAGAACUUCUCUGUCCUGCAGGAAGCGAAUAUUGAGAAUAGCAUUGGGCAUACUCUGAAAUUUGGACUACACAGAUGGUCAGCUGGUCCUCAAGACUGAAAACACACACCAACAUUUUUAUUUUCUG